rnacentral:rRNA from 1 species
GAUGAACGCUAGCGGCAGGCCUAAUACAUGAAAGUCGAACGGGCUUGAGGAGCUCGCUCCUCACGAGAGUGGCGCACGGGUGCGCAACACGUAUGUAACCUACCUUAAUCAGGGGAAUAGCCUCACGUAAGAGAGAUUAACACCGCAUAAAAUCACACCAUGGCAUCAUAAAAUGAUCUAUUCCGUAUAGGAUUAAGAUGGGCAUGCGUAACAUUAGCUAGUUGGUAAGGUAACGGCUUACCAAGGCUACGAUGUUUAGGGGAUCUGAGAGGAUGGCCCCCCACACUGGUACUGAGACACGGACCAGACUCCUACGGGAGGCAGCAGUAAGGAAUAUUGGUCAAUGGGCGGAAGCCUGAACCAGCCAUGCCGCGUGCAGGAAGACGGCCCUACGGGUUGUAAACUGCUUUUGUACCGGAAUAAACCUUUCUACGUGUAGGAGGCUGAAUGUACGGUAAGAAUAAGGAUCGGCUAACUCCGUGCCAGCCGCCGCAGUAA